rfam:Anaerostipes sp. 992a contig000004, whole genome shotgun sequence.
GCACCAUUAGCUCAGUUGGUAGAGCAGUAGACUCUUAAUCUAUUUGUCUAGGGUUCGAAUCCCUAAUGGUGUA